rnacentral:rRNA from 1 species
GACGAACGCUGGCGGCGUGCCUAAUACAUGCAAGUCGAACGAAGUUUUUCUGGUGCUUGCACUAGAAAAACUUAGCGGCGAACGGGUGAGUAACACGUAAAGAACCUGCCUCAUAGACUGGGACAACUAUUGGAAACGAUAGCUAAUACCGGAUAACAGUAUUUCUCGCAUGAGAGAUAUUUAAAAGUUGGUUAUGCUAACACUAUGAGAUGGCUUUGCGGUGCAUUAGCUAGUUGGUGGGGUAAAGGCCCACCAAGGCGACGAUGCAUAGCCGACCUGAGAGGGUGAUCGGCCACACUGGGACUGAGACACGGCCCAGACUCCUACGGGAGGCAGCAGUAGGGAAUCUUCCGCAAUGGGCGAAAGCCUGACGGAGCAACGCCGCGUGAGUGAAGAAGGAUUUCGGUUCGUAAAGCUCUGUUGUUAGGGAAGAAUGGAUAUGUAGUAACUAUACAUGUAAGAGACGGUACCUAACCAGAAAGCCACGGCUAACUACGUG